CCCGGGCGUGGCACAGCAGGUCGAAACAGGAGCGGUCCGCACAGCCCACUAUCUCGAUCCAGCCCUGCAGGACACAGAAGGAACAGAGACAGGGUUAUUAUGGGGCGGCAGGGUAGCCUAGUGGUUAGAGGAGGCAGGUAGCCUAGUGGUUAGAGUGUAGAGGUGGCAGGUAGCCUAGUGGUUAGAGGAGGCAGGUAGCCUAGUGGUUAGAGUGUAGAGGUGGCAGGUAGCCUAGUGGUUAGAGUGUAGAGGUGGCAGGUAGCCUAGUGGUUAGAGGAGGCAGGUAGCCUAGUGGUUAGAGUGAAGAGGUGGCAGGUAGCCUAGUGGUUAGAGGAGGCAGGUAGCCUAGUGGUUAGAGUGUAGAGGUGGCAGGUAGCCUAGUGGUUAGAGGAGGCAGGUAGCCUAGUGGUUAGAGUGAAGAGGUGGCAGGUAGCCUAGUGGUUAGAGGAGGCAGGUAGCCUAGUGGUUAGAGGAGGCAGGUAGCCUAGUGGUUAGAGGAGGCAGGUAGCCUAGUGGUUAGAGGAGGCAGGUAGCCUAGUGGUUAGAGGAGGCAGGUAGCCUAGUGGUUAGAGGAGGCAGGUAGCCUAGUGGUUAGAGCGUUGGACUAGUAACCGAAAGGUUGCAAGUUCAAAUCCCCGAGCUGACAAGGUACAAAUCUGUCGUUCUGCCCCUGAACAGGAAGUUAACCCACCAUUCCUAGGCCGUCAUUAAAAAUAGGAAUUUGUUCUUAACUGACUUGCCUGGUUAAAUAAAGGUUUAAAAAAAAAAAAAAAUUAAAAAAUCAACACAAGAUAAGAACUUCAAAUUGUAGACACAGCUAGCAGUGGAGGGUGGGACCGACAUAGGAUGUUUUGGUCUCUGCGUCCCAGCAGUCACAGUGGGUUAAGGUUAGGGGUCAGGGGUCAUGGAGGACCUACAUAGGAUGUUUUGGUCUGCGUCCCAGCAGUCACAGGCAUAGUGGGUUAAGGUUAGGGGUUAGGGGUCAUGGA